UACAGAGGGUGCGAGCGUUAAUCGGAAUUACUGGGCGUAAAGGGUGCGUAGGUGGUUUGUUAAGUUAGAUGUGAAAGUCCUGGGCUUAACCUGGGGAUUGCAUUUAAUACUGGCGAGCUAGAGUACUGUAGAGGGAAGUGGAAUUUCCGGUGUAGCGGUGAAAUGCGUAGAUAUCGGAAGGAACAUCAGUGGCGAAGGCGACUUUCUGGACAGAUACUGACACUGAGGCACGAAAGCGUGGGGAGCAAACAGG
rnacentral:rRNA from 1 species